GCAUUGGUGGUUCAGUGGAAGAAUUCUCGCCUGCCACGCGGGAGACCCGGUCCGAUUCCCGGCCAAUGCA
rfam:Danio rerio chromosome 4, GRCz11 reference primary assembly.